rnacentral:lncRNA from 1 species
GCAGAGCAAAUGAAAGUAGCAUUUAAAAUUCUCUUCUAUAAAAUUAGUACGAGUUCACAACACAUUGUCACGUGGUUGAAUGAUCAAAAAGACUUGCAGCUGUGUGACCUUUACCUACUUUCUUGUUUUUUUUAUACUUGGGAAUUUGCAAUGGAGACAGUCCAGGAACUUUCUGAUAGCACUCGUAGUUUUAAAUUAAUUCUUCUUUCUCUAAUGCUUAAAUAUGUUGAAUAAGACAAAUAAACAUAUAUAGAUGCUGAACUAUUCACUUGUUAAUUUGACUUAUUUUUAUAUCACUUUUACUCUUUCUACAC